GAACAAAUAUUAGGUAACACUUCCUUCUUUCUUUCCUUCCUUCCUUCCUUCCUUCCUUCCUUCCUUCCUUCCUUCCUUCCUUCCUUCCUUCCUUCCUUCCUUCCUUCCUUCCUUCCUUCCUUCCUUCCUUCCUUCCUUCCUUCCUUCCUUCCUUCCUUCCUUCCUUCCCUUCCCUUCCCUCAAGUUGAGCUGUUAACAAAUGGAGUCAGUUCUGUCUAGACUAAAAUGGUUUAUAACAACCCUGAAUCAAGCAAUCCUAUCAGUGCCAUUUUUCCAACAGCUUAUGCUUGGAGUAGAGGGGUGCUUCAUCAUAUAGGCAUGGCAGAGAAAAAAGCCCCCUCAAAUGAAUAAAAGACAAAGUCUGACCCUGGAAAAACUAUUUCUGCAAUAAGGAAGACCAAAAUGCAGACUCAGAAAAGGACAGCAAUACCAACAAAGAAAUGUGUGAAGCCUCAAAGGAAAACGUGAAAGGAUGUCAGGCCCAGAAAUGAACUCUUGGAAGAGCUUUAAAAGAGAAGAACCAGUAUGUGAUCAUAUUGUGUCUCUGUGCCAUAGUUUGGUAAUUUUUAAUUUAAUUUAAUAAUUAAUUUAAUUUCAAACUUUUUCAUUAUUAUUAAAUCUGUUAUGGUGGUCUGAAAUCAGUGAUCUUUGAUGUUAUUCUUGUAAUUGUUUUGAAGUGCCAGGAAGGACUAAAUAAAUGUUGUGUAUGUUU